GAUGAACGCUGGCGGCGUGCCUAAUACAUGCAAGUCGAGCGAACAGAUAAGGAGCUUGCUCCUUUGACGUUAGCGGCGGACGGGUGAGUAACACGUGGGUAACCUACCUAUAAGACUGGGAUAAAUUCGGGAAACCGGAGCUAAUACCGGAUAACAUUUGGAACCGCAUGGUUCUAAAGUGAAAGAUGGUUUUGCUAUCACUGAUAGAUGGACCCGCGCCGUAUUAGCUAGUUGGUAAGGUAACGGCUUACCAAGGCAACGAUACGUAGCCGACCUGAGAGGGUGAUCGGCCACACUGGAACUGAGACACGGUCCAGACUCCUACGGGAGGCAGCAGUAGGGAAUCUUCCGCAAUGGGCGAAAUCCUGACGGAGCAACGCCGCGUGAGUGAUGAAGGGUUUCGGCUCGUAAAACUCUGUUAUUAGGGAAGAACAAACGUGUAAGUAACUGUGCACGUCUUGACGUUACCUAAUCAGAAAGCCACGGCUAACUACGUG
rnacentral:rRNA from 1 species